UACGGAGGGUGCGAGCGUUAAUCGGAAUCACUGGGCGUAAAGCGCGCGUAGGCGGCUUUUCAAGUCAGGGGUGAAAUCCCACGGCCCAACCGUGGAACCGCCUUUGAAACUGUAGAGCUUGAGUGUCGGAGAGGGUGGCGGAAUUCCAGGUGUAGGAGUGAAAUCCGUAGAUAUCUGGAGGAACACCGGUGGCGAAGGCGGCCACCUGGACGACAACUGACGCUGAGGUGCGAAAGCGUGGGUAGCAAACAGG
rnacentral:rRNA from 1 species